rnacentral:rRNA from 1 species
AACGAACGCUGGCGGCAUGCCUAACACAUGCAAGUCGAACGAGAACUUCGGGUCUAGUGGCGUACGGGUGCGUAACGCGUGGGAACCUGCACAUAGGUUUGGAAUAACUAUACGAAAGGGGUGAUAAUACCGGAUAAUGUCUUAGGACGAAAGAUUUAUCGCAUUUGGAUGGGCCAGAGUUGGAUUAGCUAGUUGGUAGGGUAAAAGCCUACCAAGGCGACGAUCCAUAGCUGGUCUGAGAGGCUGAUCAGCCACACUGGGACUGAGACACGGCCCAGACUCCUACGGGAGGCAGCAGUGGGUAAUAUUGGACAAUGGGCGAAAUCCUGAUCCAGCAAGGCCGCGUGAGUGAUGAAGUCCUGAGGGUUGUAAAGCUCUUUUACCCGGGAUGAUAAUGACAGUACCGGGAGAAUAAGCUCCGGCUAACUCCGUG